GAUGAACGCUGGCGGGGUGCCUAAUACAUGCAAGUCGAGCGGACGGACGGGAAGCUUGCUUCUCUGAUGUUAGCGGCGGACGGGUGAGUAACACGUGGAUAACCUACCUAUAAGACUGGGAUAACUUCGGGAAACCGGAGCUAAUACCGGAUAAUAUUUUGAACCGCAUGGUUCAAAAGUGAAAGACGGUCUUGCUGUCACUUAUAGAUGGAUUCGCGCUGCAUUAGCUAGUUGGUAAGGUAACGGCUUACCAAGGCAACGAUGCAUAGCCGACCUGAGAGGGUGAUCGGCCACACUGGAACUGAGACACGGUCCAGACUCCUACGGGAGGCAGCAGUAGGGAAUCUUCCGCAAUGGGCGAAAGCCUGACGGAGCAACGCCGCGUGAGUGAUGAAGGUCUUCGGAUCGUAAAACUCUGUUAUUAGGGAAAAACAUAUGUGUAAGUAACUGUGCACAUCUUGACGGUACCUAAUCAGAAAGCCACGGCUAACUACGUG
rnacentral:rRNA from 1 species